rnacentral:rRNA from 1 species
UACGAAGGGGGCUAGCGUUGCUCGGAAUUACUGGGCGUAAAGGGCGCGUAGGCGGCACAGUUAGUCAGGCGUGAAAUUCCUGGGCUCAACCUGGGGAUUGCGCUUGAAACGGCUGCGCUUGAGGACGGAAGAGGGUCGUGGAAUUCCCAGUGUAGAGGUGAAAUUCGUAGAUAUUGGGAAGAACACCGGUGGCGAAGGCGGCGACCUGGUCCGUUCCUGACGCUGAGGCGCGAAGGCGUGGGGAGCAAACAGG